GUGGUGGUGGGGGCUCCUCACAGGAAAGUCUGUAAUAGUUGUCAGAAAGUGUUAACUUGUGUUUUUUUCCUCAGUCAGCUGUUGCGCUGCUAUUGAACAAACGUACUCGGACAAAGCAGCUGACGAGCUAAAGUAGUGGCCCGGAGAGAAUGAAGGAGGAGGAGGCAGCUGUCUAAACACACACACGCACACACACACAUUCGCACACACACGCACACGCACACACACACACACAGACGCGUGGGGGAAUGUGCUCGGUCAACAUGUACACACGCGUGAAGGCCCCCAUUAUCCCAGCUAACGCUUAGCUAACAGCUAACAGAUGGCGGCGGUUCUAUUUGCGAGCGGAGCUAAAGCAGAUCAGUCGCCGGGCGGCGAUUCCCACCAUUGGAUUGCCAUCGCCGCCAUAUCAAAGAGUUGGACGGUUGCAACAACACGGACGCAAGUCUCUCUGUUGCACUCUUAAGCUUAGUGUCUACUUCCUGUUUGAAGGCGCACAAUGGCGAGGCACUGUUGAUCAACUGUUAGGUGUGGUCAGGAUCUCGACAUCAGACACGAAGACAAUGUACAGUAUAGGACGCGUGUCUGGCAAACAAGUGUUUACUCUUUUUUUUUUUUUUUGUUUU